AUUCUGCCAGGAAUCCAGCUGACCGAAUUACCCACACUUGCCCACCUUAGGCCUUCAUUCGCAGCAGGCAUGUGUGCCUGGGUUUGUUACCAGCAGCCAUUUUCUCACCCUUAAAUGACGGAUGGGUCUCCCCUUUUCUUUUUCUCAUUUUCCUAGAGGUUACAAGAUUCCUGUUUUUCUCACCAGGAAGAGAGGUCAGCCUCAGUGAGCUCAUAGCAGUCAUACAUUGCCAGUGUUUUUCCUCAAGUGGAAGGAGAAAGGCCUUCAGAAAAAAAAUCGUAUGCAAACCUAGUGCUACCACCAGCAGCAGCUCUGAAUCGAGAUUUUUGGGACAAUUCGGCUUACUGAAGAUAAACUACAAUAAGUCUCAAGGAGGCAAAUAAUUCUGAUUCCAAUGAGGAAUCCAAGAAUAAAGGCAGCUCUUAAGGUACGGACGUGAACUGUCUGUGGGUGACUUGCCUGGAUGCCGGCUAUAGCUGCAGCCCCCAAAGUCGAAGCUACCAGAACAGAUUGGAUGAGGAUGGCCCAAAGAUUAUGGAGUUGCUGGCCCCAAAGCAAGUCAGACACUAUGGGAAGUUUGCAUGAAUCAUGCCCUUGGAUAGACAACCUAAAUCAUACCUCAUCGAGCAUGGAUCCUGGUCAGCAUACCAAGUCAAGGCAAGUAAAGACUGAAGAAAUAUCACCUGGUCUGCAGCUCCCCCCAAAACGAAGUCUGCUACUGAUGGCAGAAGCAUAGAUAGACCAAGGGUAUCACUAUGUAAUGAUGGAAGAAGGAAAAACCCCAUGCAUUCACUCAUGUCUUGAAUCACCUAGAGAAGAGAGGGAAUCUGCCAAAGUGGACACAAUAGAAAUUCAGUUCUAAAUUUGGAGGAAAUGAGACCCACUCUCAGAUAAGAUGAAAAGUAAAAGCCCUAGGAUCCAAUGGGGUAUUAAACAAAUAUUUAAAAGUA